ensembl:snRNA U6 U6 spliceosomal RNA
CUGCUCACUUCGGCAGCACAUCUCCUAAAACUGGAAUGGCAACAGAGAUUAGCAUGGCCCCCGUAUGAAGAUGGCACACAAAUCUGUGAAGUGUUCUGUAUUUUU